GAGAAGUUCUAGGAAGUUCAUUUCCUUCAUCUGCCUGGAAUUAUCUAACUGCUCAGCAUUCUUGUGCUCAGAGUUUAGUCUGAAUUUCACCAUGUGGUCCAUCAUCUUCUUUCUCCUGUUGAGGUUCCUCUGCCCUGGAAACAGCGCCCCUCUGAGCCCUCAAAACCCUGACGCAGAUGGAAAGCCAAGCGCUUCUUCUGUUUCCAUCCUUCAGCCUCCAGCAGGACAACUGAAUUGGCCCCAAAAAAUCACUCUCACAUGCGUCAUGGAAGUUUUUUAUCCCAGCGAACUCUUUCUGAUAUCGCUCCGGAAUGGGGAGCCGGUCAGUGAAUCAGGGUAUCACACUGGCCCAUCCAAUUUACAGUCCAACACACCCAAACGGUAUUUGAGGUUGAGCAUCAGCAAGCAGGAAGUGAAUUUGAAUAGUGAAGAUGAAUUCUAUUGCCUGGGUGAUUACGAAGCCUUGCCAUCCGACGUCAUCCAGAAGACCAUAAAGAAGAACACGGGGAAAUGAUCUGUAGUUGACGUCUCCGUAAUCCUCUCUGACGCCAGCAGCCCUUGCUUCCCAUUUCUUUUGAGAAACCUUCGUGUGUUCGGUUCCCACCAGCCUCUCUUUUCUCCUACUUCGUGAUGGAAAAUUCAUGAAAGCAUUCGUUGGCCGCAUCCUUCUGAAGACAAGAAAUAUUGUGUCAUCAAGUAUUUUUCUCAAAACAAGUAAAAAAAAUAAUAAUAAUCUGGGGGUAAGGCAGUGGUGAAAUGUAAAAUUUGUA